rnacentral:lncRNA from 1 species
AAGAGAGUUUAGGUAAUCCAUUUACCACUCAUCUUUAAUGCUUCAACUUUCCCUAAGGUUCCUGAGAAAAACCUAUACUUCAUGAGGACAUUGAGAAACUCAAUGCUAAGAUUAAGGAGCUCGAAUUGGAGAAUACUGAGUUGCAAAUUAAGAUGAAUCGAACUGCUUUGGAAAAUCAAAAAUUGAAAGAUGGACGUAAGGGGAAAGCCAAGAAACUUGAAGACAGUAACAAGAGAGCCAGGUUAUUGGAAGACCAGAAGGACGAUAUUGAUCACAUCCUUAUAGGUUCUACAUCGGUAGUCCAGACCAGAAAGGAAGAGCUCAAGAAAGUUGAAUAUAGAAUUCAAAAGUUAGGAAGGAUGCUGGAUAGGUCUCUUGUGGAAAAUAAGGAAGUUAAGCCCG